UACGAAGGUGGCAAGCGUUGUUCGGAUUUACUGGGCGUACAGGGAGCGUAGGCGGUUGGGUAAGCCCUCCGUGAAAUCUCCGGGCCUAACCCGGAAAGUGCGGAGGGGACUGCUCGGCUAGAGGAUGGGAGAGGAGCGCGGAAUUCCCGGUGUAGCGGUGAAAUGCGUAGAGAUCGGGAAGAACGCCAAGGGCGAAGGCACUCUGCUAGGCCUGAUUUCGCGACUGACACUCAGGGACGAGAGCCAGGGGAGCGAAUGGG
rnacentral:rRNA from 1 species